AUGUGCUUGUCAGACUGCCCAAAGAGAAGACCUUAUAUAUGGGAUAUAGUCACUAUGCUCAAUAACAUAGAAAAUACGAAGGAACAAAUUAACGAUUGUGAUGACUCUCCAGUUGCCCCAAUAAGCCCUUACCCCUGGGAGCUGCUUGAGCUUGACAUGCUGGAGCUGAAUUUCCCCUUCGAGAUAAACAAGCAGAUACCAUGCUCCCUUCAGCUGACCAACGUAUCCAAUGAUUAUGUUGCCUUCGAUAUUGUAAUGACAGGCGUAUUGCUGUAUGACGUAGAGCCUAAGAAAGGAGAACGAUGGCGUAGCAUGUGCUAA
rnacentral:rRNA from 1 species